rnacentral:rRNA from 1 species
UACGAAGGGGGCUAGCGUUGCUCGGAAUCACUGGGCGUAAAGGGUGCGUAGGCGGGUCUUUAAGUCAGGGGUGAAAUCCUGGAGCUCAACUCCAGAACUGCCUUUGAUACUGAGGAUCUUGAGUUCGGGAGAGGUGAGUGGAACUGCGAGUGGUAGAGGUGAAAUUCGUAGAUAUUCGCAAGAACACCAGUGGCGAAGGCGGCUCACUGGCCCGAUACUGACGCUGA